CACAAUGCCACAGAUGUCUCAAGUUUUGAGGGAGCGUGCAAUUGGCAUGCUGUCUGCAGGAAUGUCCACCAUAGCUGUUGCCAGAUAAUUGAAUGUUAAUUUCUCUACCAAAUCGAGUGCAAUGUCGUUUUAGAGAAUUUGGCAGUACAUCCAACCGGCCUCACAACCGCAGACCAUGUGUAAACAUGCCAGACCAGGACCUCCACAUCUGGCUUCUUCACCUGUGGGAUCGUCUGAGACCAGCCACGUGGACAGCUGAUGAAACUGCGGGGUCUUGACCUGACUGCAGUUCGGCGUCGUAACCAACUUCAGGGGGCAAAUGCUCACCUUCGAUGACCACCGGCACGCUGGAGAAGUGGGCUCUCCACGGAUUAAUCCCGGUUUCAACUGCUGAUCGGGCAGACAGCAGACAGCGUGAAUGUGGUCGUUUGGGCGAGCAGUUUGCUGAUGCCAACGUUGUGAACAGAGUGCCUCAUGGUGGUGGUGGGGUUAUGGUAUGGGCAGGCAUAAGCUACUGACAGUGAACACAAUUGCAUUUAAUCAAUGGCAAUUUGAAUCCCCAGCGAUACCAUGACGAGAUCCUGAGGCCCAUUGUCGUGCCAUUCAUCCGCCGCUUUCACCUCAUGUUUCAGCAUGAUAAUGCACAGCCCCAUGUCAUAAGGAUCUGUACACAAUUCCUGGAAGCUGAAAAUGUCCCAGUUCUUCCAUGGCCUGCAUACUUACCAGACAUGUCACCCAUCGAGCAUGUUUGGGAUGCUCUGGAUCAGUGGUCGCCAACUGGUCGAUCUUCAAGGCAUUCCUAGUCGAUCACCAAAUAUUUCUGUAGAAAAGCCAACGAACGAUAAAGGCUUGCGCUCCUUUUUUAAAAUCGUGUUGAGCGCACAGGGUAAGCAAAGUGUUUCCACGAGACAAACUCUGCCUAUCCGCAAGACCGGCAAAUCUGUGACUAAAUCGAGUGCACCUACUGCGCUGCCCAAUCGGAUAGCUCAAAUCACUGUGGCUACAGAGCUUCCAUGACCCUGGCCACAGCUAAGUUUAAUAGGCUACUAGCGUACGUACGAUUUUAUAACUUUUAAAACCAUGACCACAGAGGAUCUGUCAACGAAUACAGCAAAGAGCUGGUGAUUUUAUGAGUAAAGUGGAGCUGAGAACCAGUACUGAGGUAAAGGCUCAGUGUGAUCAGAAUGUGUCCCUGCAGUGUGACAUCAUGUCACCGAGCCCACUCAAGAUCAUUCUCUUUUCCUGGGUAAGGAAAGGGAAACAGCUGUGUGUGGUCAAUGCCACUGGUGUAUUCUCCUUUCCUGGCGUCCGGUGUGACAACACAAACAACACCCUCACACUCAAUCUGACUCGGGUGAUGCCGUCCAGUCAGGGUAACUACACCUGCAAACUGCGCUCCAACCUAACGAUCACAGCUGCCAACACCACUGUGACAAUGCAAGAGUGCCUAAGGACAUCUGAGCACAAAGUGUUCCAGAAUGAGUCUCAGGUUGAGUGCCAGUUAUUUGGAGUUUACCCAGAAGGCACAGUACACUGGUUCCUGGGCUCUGAGAAUAUAACAGAGUCCGCCAGCACAAAGAGCCAGCUGGAUGAAGAGGGGCUGUUUGAUAUAAGGAGUACCCUGCCUACCCAGGCUGGGACUGAGCCUUACAACUGCUCCUUGUGGAUACCUAGUAGUGGAACCUACAGCUCUCACAAACAGCUGCACUACUCCAGGGGGCUCUCUUCAGGGACAAAGACUAGGAGCAGACUGCUGUUGUUCUUCAUCCUGGUUGGACUCAUAAUCAUAAUUUAGGACUACUCAUGGGAAGGUCAGGAGUUUUUUUACUGAAUAUGGGACUUCGAACUACAGUAGGGCAAAGGGCUUUUCUGGUCAGGGCACAUCUACACAGGAUGGAUCAGGGCCUUUCUCUUACUGAGUGAAGAGAAAGCAAACCUGGACUGCCAUGGCCAAAGUAGAUAUAUGUUUUCACUUAUUAUACUGGGAAGCAAAAUAUCAAAGAAAUUGCAAUAAAUACAAUUGAAUUUUAAAGCUGAAAAUCAUUGUACAUUGGGAUUUGAGAAUACUGUAAGAAGUAUUCAUCCGUUCAUCGUUUGUCUUCAACGUUAUACACUUGCUUAAAUUGCAUUGCUUAUUACAGUAGUAGAGUACUGCUUCCUGGUGGUGAAAGUGUUUACUGAUGGAAAUAGUAUUGAUGUUAGAUGAGUAAUAAAGCUGUUCUAAAUUGUAUUGUUGAAUUGACUGAUCUUGCUUAUUAAGUCUGUCAUAUCUUGUUGCUGUGUUUUCCAGUCAGCACUGAUUAGACUGAUUAUAUAAUCAAUCAAUGCAAUGUCAAAACAUGGCUAGAAGGACAUGUUACUGUGUGUUCUGGAUUCUAAAAUACAACUUGAAUUGUACCAUAGCAAAUAUAGUCACCCGUGUUGUUUUCUGUACUAGUUCUCAAUUUAAAAAUGAACCAGACCACCCUGGGUACUCAUGACAUUGACAGUAAAAGAAUGAGGACUCAUGGUCAUUCAAAUUGCAUUUCUAGUUCCUUCUCAGUGUACCACAAGGGGGCAGAGUCAUCCCACCAGAGAGGACUGUCAAACCAAUCAUACACAACUCUUCUCCCUCUGCAUACAAACACACACUCAUGCUGUGUGAAUUCCAAUCCAACUGUUCUGUAUAAAUCAACACUUUGAUGUGACACAUUUCCUAUCAAUUUCCUCUACGCCAAUGUGGGUCUCCUGCAAAGUGAAGGAGUGAAGGGUAAAAUGUCUG
rnacentral:lncRNA from 1 species